rnacentral:tRNA from 1 species
GGCGACUUAGCAAAGCGGUUAUGCAGCGGAUUGCAAAUUCGUGUAGUCCGGUUCGACUCCGGAAGUCGCCUCCA